rnacentral:rRNA from 1 species
ACGAACGCUGGCGGCGUGCUUAACCCAUGCAAGUCGAACGGAAAGGCCCUGCUUGCAGGGUACUCGAGUGGCGAACGGGUGAGUAACACGUGGGUGAUCUGCCCUGCACUUCGGGAUAAGCCUGGGAAACUGGGUCUAAUACCGGAUAGGAGCCAUUUUUAGUGUGAUGGUUGGAAAGUUUUUUCGGUGUAGGAUGAGCUCGCGGCCUAUCAGCUUGUUGGUGGGGUAAUGGCCUACCAAGGCGGCGACGGGUAGCCGGCCUGAGAGGGUGGACGGCCACAUUGGGACUGAGAUACGGCCCAGACUCCUACGGGAGGCAGCAGUGGGGAAUAUUGCACAAUGGGCGCAAGCCUGAUGCAGCGACGCCGCGUGGGGGAUGACGGCCUUCGGGUUGUAAACUCCUUUCGCUAGGGACGAAGCUUUUUGUGACGGUACCUAGAUAAGAAGCACCGGCUAACUACGU